UGCAUGAAACAGCCGAACUCCUGGGCACCAGGAAGCGGGGGAUCCAAUAUCAUGGGUGAAUUGAUCUCGAAUCAGAGUGAUCAUAGGGGACCUUCAAACCGAAUCCUUAAGCUAACCUCGUAGGCAUUGGAAGGGGAACAG
rnacentral:sRNA from 2 species